GUCCAGACUCCUACGGGAGGCAGCAGUGGGGAAUAUUGGGCAAUGGGCGCAAGCCUGAUGCAGCGACGCCGCGUGGGUGAAGGAGCGUUUCGGCGCGUAAAGCCCUAUCGGCAGGGAAGAAGGAGGACGGUACCUGACUAAGAAGCCCCGACUAACUACGUGCCAGCAGCCGCGGGAAUACGUAGGGGGCAAGCGUUAUCCGGAUUUACUGGGUGUAAAGGGGGCGCAGACGGCAGCGCAAGCCGGGAGUGAAAGCCCGGGGCCCAACCCCGGGACUGCUCUUGGAACUGCGCGGCUGGAGUGCAGGAGGGGCAGGCGGAAUUCCUGGUGUAGCGGUGAAAUGCGUAGAUAUCAGGAGGAACACCGGCGGCGAAGGCGGCCUGCUGGACCGCGACUGACGUUGAGGCUUGAAAGCGUGGGGAGCGAACAGGAUUAGAUACCCCUGUA
rnacentral:rRNA from 1 species